rnacentral:rRNA from 1 species
UCUGGUUGAUCCUGCCGGACCCGACUGCUAUCGGAUUGAGAUUUAGCCAUGCGAGUCGAACGUCCCCCUGUUGCGGGGGGCGUGGCGUACGGCUCAGUAACACGUAGUCAACCUGCCCUGGAGACAAGGACAACCCCGGGAAACUGGGAUUAAUCCUUGAUAGGUCAUCUCAUCUGGAAGGAGAGAUGGCUUAAAGGGGUACGCGGGCUUCUUCCGCGAAUCCGCUCCAGGAUGGGACUGCGUCCGAUCAGGCUGUUGGCGGGGUAAUGGCCCACCAAACCUGUAACCGGUACGGGCCUUGAGAGAGGUGGCCCGGAGAUGGACACUGAGAGAAGGGUCCAGGUCCUACGGGGCGCAGCAGGCGCGAAACCUUCGCAAUGCGCGAAAGCGUGACGAGGUUAAUCCGAGUGGUCCCCGCUGAGGGGAUCUUUUGUCAGCUGUAAAUAGGCAGGCGAAUAAGGGGAGGGCAAGCCUGGUGUCAGCCGCCGCGGUAAUACCAGCUCCUCGAGUGGUCGGGGCGAUUAUUGGGCCUAAAGCAUCCGUAGCCGGUUCCGUAGGUCCUCUGUUAAAUCCAACCGCUCAACGGUUGACCUGCAGAGGAUACCGCGGGACUAGGAGGCGGGAGAGGCGGACGGUACUCCGCGUGUAGGGGUAAAAUCCUUUGAUCCGCGGAAGACCACCAGUGGCGAAGGCGGUCCGCCAGAACGCGCUCGACGGUGAGGGAUGAAAGCUGGGGGAGCGAACCGGAUUAGAUACCCGGGUAGUCCCAGCCGUAAACGAUGCUAGCUAGAUGAUUCAUUCGCAAGUCGCGAAUGAAGUGUCGCAGGAAAGCCGUUAAGCUAGCCGCCUGGGGAGUACGGUCGCAAGACUGAAACUUAAGGAAUUGGCGGGGGAGCACCACAAGGGGUGAAGCCUGCGGUUCAAUUGGACUCAACGCCGGA